rnacentral:rRNA from 1 species
CAAGGCUUGACAUAUACGAGAACGGGCCAGAAAUGGUCAACUCUUUGGACACUCGUAUACAGGUGGUGCAUGGUUGUCGUCAGCUCGUGUCGUGAGAUGUUCGGUUAAGUCCGGCAACGAGCGCAACCCUCGUCCUAUGUUGCCAGCACGUUAUGGUGGGAACUCAUGGGAUACUGCCGUGGUCAACACGGAGGAAGGUGGGGAUGACGUCAAAUCAUCAUGCCCCUUAUGUCUUGGGCUUCACGCAUGCUACAAUGGCCGAUACAAAGGGCUGCGAUACCGCGAGGUGGAGCGAAUCCCAAAAAGUCGGUCUCAGUUCGGAUUGGGGUCUGCAACUCGACCCCAUGAAGUCGGAGUCGCUAGUAAUCGCAGAUCAGCAACGCUGCGGUGAAUACGUUCCC